rnacentral:rRNA from 1 species
GACGAACGCUGGCGGCGUGCUUAACACAUGCAGGUCGAACGGAAAGGCCCUGCUUUUGUGGGGUGCUCGAGUGGCGAACGGGUGAGUAACACGUGAGUAACCUGCCCUUGACUUUGGGAUAACUUCAGGAAACUGGGGCUAAUACCGGAUAGGAGCUCCUGCUGCAUGGUGGGGGUUGGAAAGUUUCGGCGGUUGGGGAUGGACUCGCGGCUUAUCAGCCUGUUGGUGGGGUAGUGGCUUACCAAGGCUUUGACGGGUAGCCGGCCUGAGAGGGUGACAGGCCACAUUGGGACUGAGAUACGGCCCAGACUCCUACGGGAGGCAGCAGUGGGGAAUAUUGCACAAUGGGCGGAAGCCUGAUGCAGCAACGCCGCGUGCGGGAUGACGGCCUUCGGGUUGUAAACCGCUUUCGCCUGUGACGAAGCGUGAGUGACGGUAAUGGGUAAAGAAGCACCGGCUAACUACGUG